AUACGUAGGUGGCAAGCGUUGUCCGGAAUUAUUGGGCGUAAAGCGCAUGUAGGCGGCUUGGUAAGUCGGUCGUGAAAAUGCGGUGCUUGACGCCGUAUGGCGAUUGAAACUGCUGACCUUGAGUGCAGGAGAGGAAAGGGGAACUCCCAGUGUAGCGGUGAAAUGCGUAGAUAUUGGGAAGAACACCGGUGGCGAAGGCGCCUUUCUGGACUGUGUCUGACGCUCAGAUGCGAAAGCCAGGGUAGCGAACGGGAUUAGAUACCCCGGUAGUCCUGGCCGUAAACGAUGGGUACUAGGUGUGGGAGGUAUCGACUCCUUCCGUGCCGGAGUUAACGCAAUAAGUACCCCGCCUGGGGAGUACGGCCGCAAGGCUUAAACUCAAAUGAAUUGACGGGG
rnacentral:rRNA from 1 species